GAUGAACGCUGGCGGCGUGCUUAACACAUGCAAGUCGAACGGAAAGGCCCAAGCUUGCUUGGGUACUCGGGUGGCGAACGGGUGAGUAACACGUGGGUGAUCUGCCCUGCACUUCGGGAUAAGCCUGGGAAACUGGGUCUAAUACCGGAUAGGACCACAUUUUGGAUGGUGUGGUGGAAAGUUUUUCGGUGUGGGAUGAGCUCGCGGCCUAUCAGCUUGUUGGUGGGGUAAUGGCCUACCAAGGCGUCGACGGGUAGCCGGCCUGAGAGGGUGUACGGCCACAUUGGGACUGAGAUACGGCCCAGACUCCUACGGGAGGCAGCAGUGGGGAAUAUUGCACAAUGGGCGCAAGCCUGAUGCAGCGACGCCGCGUGGGGGAUGACGGCCUUCGGGUUGUAAACUCCUUUCGCUAGGGACGAAGCGUUAUGUGACGGUACCUGGAGAAGAAGCACCGGCUAACUACGUG
rnacentral:rRNA from 1 species